UAAUCAUCGUUGGGAGGGGGAGAGUUUUGAGUCGGCCACAAACGUUUCUCUCUCUCCUAGCGACGGUUCUUUUCUUCCUCUUUCUCUCUCAUCUCCCCCUCUGACCAAAUUCCACAGAUUCCGUCAUGUCCACCGACGGAAACUCCACCGCCGCCGCGGCGGUUGAAAAGAUGUUCUUCUGUUACCAGUGCAACCGCACAGUCACAAUCUCAAUCUCCUCCGCCUCCUCCGAUCCCUUCUGCCCUCUUUGCUCCGGUGGGUUUCUCGAAGAACACGACGAACCAAACCCUAAUCCACCCCCAAAUCUCAAUCCCGGAGGAGGUUUCUUCCCCAUGGCCGAUCCUUUCUCCACCUUACUCCCUCUCCUAUUCGGCUCCUCCUCUUCCUCCACCGCAAACCCGAGCUUCUCCGGCCAACCAUCGAUGCAGCCUCGCUCCACGCGAAACGACGCGUUCGAUCCGGUGUCGUUUCUCCAGAACCAUCUCCAGCAUCUCCGAUCCAGCGGCACGCACGUGCAGUUCGUGAUCGAGAAUCACCCCUCCGAUCCGUCAAACCGAAUCCCGGGGAACCUCGGGGACUACUUCUUCGGCCCUGGACUCGAGCAAUUGAUUCAGCAGCUCGCGGAGAACGAUCCUAACCGCUACGGAACUCCUCCGGCGUCGAAAUCGGCCGUCGACGGGCUGCCGACUGUUAAGGUGACGAAGGAUAUGCUGAGGUCUGAGAUGAACCAGUGCGCUGUUUGUAUGGAUGAGUUUGAGGACGGUGGGGAUGUGAAGCAGAUGCCUUGCAAGCACGUGUUUCAUCAGGAUUGUUUGAUGCCGUGGCUGGAAUUGCAUAACUCUUGUCCGGUUUGUCGGUUUGAGUUGCCCACGGAUGAUCCUGAGUAUGAGAGUAGGGUUCAGGGUCGAGGAGGGGAGGCUAGUGGGGUUGGACAGGGGGCUGUGGAGACGGGGAGGAGGUUUAGUAUACAGGUGCCUUUACCGUUUAGGGGACGUGAUGAUGAUGCUUCUGGGUCGGGAGCACCUGGAACUGGAGGUGGAGCUAAUCUUGAGACCAGGCGGGAUGAUUUGGAUUGAGGUUUGUGUCUCUUGGCUUACUAAAGAAUCCUUUGCUUGAACUAGACUACUUGCUGUUUUAUGGUAGUGUGGCUGCGAGAACUUUGUCGAUGUGUGGCUAACUAUGUUUAACGUCAUGCUCGGGUCGUUUCAUCGUAUGGUCAGAGUCAUUGCUUGUAGAUUGGAUUGGAAGAAUGAUGUGCACAAGUUCUCAGGAAAAAAAAAAGUGACGUUGAGGUUUUACCAUAUUUUGUACAUUUACCAACAAAAAAAAAAACACGUUCUCGUCUGUACCUUUUUGGGAUUAUAACGAUUGUGAGUUAAAAUAAAAAAUCGCAAUAUUUCAUUCAAA